rnacentral:lncRNA from 1 species
AGGCCACUACGCCGUAGUCCCCAGACGAUAUAGGGGAAUCCAAUCCAUUGGACCUGUCUGUCCUCAGUUACCAUGUACCUAUAGUCCCUCAUCCAUCUAAUAUCCCAGAGACCGUAUAUCGAGCUUGGUGCUGUCAGACCCAUACGGUUUCUACUCGAGUCUCGCUCUAAUCGGAUUCUCCCGGAGAACUCUUUCUCUCUCAACCCGAAUGACCCUGACCAGGGAUUUGUCUGAGCAAGAACACAUAGGAUAUUCCUCUCAUGACGCCGAGAGUGGAUGAUCCUCUAUCGACACUCAAUAGCCCUCGUAAGGUCGACUACC